ensembl:lncRNA
UUUCUUUCCUAGCUUGGGUGGGACUGUCUAGUGUUUGCACAGUAAGUCUCUGCGACAGCUUAGAGGUGAACUGUGUCCACUGGGAGAUUCAGAGUUAUUUUAAAGGAUUUUCUGUCCCUCUGCUUAUCAAAAUGGGACUAUCAGGGGCUUCAUCCAUCUACUGCACUCAAAUGGGAGUGUGGAGGUAGCAAGUGAAGAUACCAAAGAAAUUAUUAGGUGUGGUGGGCACAGAAUGAAGGUGCAAUGCAUAAAGGAGUUCCUGAAUCUUCCCAUUAGCUUGUUACUGACAAACUGCAGCUGAAGCUCUUUUUCUGUAUUUAAACCUCACAGCAGUUGCUUUCCUGUUGGGUGUGAAAUCAAGGAUCAUGUUACCAAAGCAAGUAUUCCUGAAAGAGAAAGAAAGAUUUAAGUCUGCCACAGGCAUGGCCCACGGAGGCAGAUGCAAAGAGGCAGAGAGGUUUCUGUCCCACAACACCCACAGCGUGAAACAGAAGAGCCCAGGAAGAUGCCAGCGAAAUGAACGACAAAAAAUGAGGAAACCAAAUAUUUAGUAAACAUCUGAGGGAGACUGCAAUGUAAAGGUGUUUCAGAGCAGGAGCUGGUUUUUUUUUGUUUUUUUUUUUUUUUUUUUUUGUAGUGCAUGGAAAGUGCUGGGUAGGGCAGAGCAAUCACAUCAGCCCUGACAAAGGAGAGUCUCGGUGCACAGCAGUUUAACUGCUGUCAUUUGUUUUACUAUGUCUUUCUCUUUUAAUGUCACUCCCACUUCUCUGAGCUCUUCUGUCUCGGUGAGUAUUGAGGUUAGGUGUGGAGACAUUUGUCAUUUGUGGACUUAUUUGUAGCUACAGAGCACAGGAAUAGAUGGAUAGCGCUCCUAUAAAAUCUGUUUACAGUUGUGUGCUUUGCAGAAAAUCUUGCUCCCACCCUUGCUGCCUAUGGGAUUAAAGCACCACAUAGCUUGUCAGUGCGGAUUGGAGAGCUAGAAUGGGCCUGGUAUAUUGGACAGCUUGUAGUAGGUAGGUUUGUUUGGACAUGGGGAAAUGUGCUUGCGAGGGAACAAACCAACAAGGCUGGCUGACCCUUGGCAUGAAAUCGUACCAGCUGGAAAAACUGGAGAACAGGGUCUUGACCAACGGAUAGCUGAAAGCCAUAUGAGGAACAAUAAUGUGAUGAAAAAUGACUGGCUGGGCUAAGGUUUCGUUAUCCCAGACACCCUGCAUCUGGUGAGAUGGCAGCUCCUCCCCACACAGCCCAAGGAGGCACGUGCAGUUUCCUUAUGGUGAUUUGGAUGCUCUGCAGGGUACACCAGAAAUAGCGGGGCUCGGACCAAAUGGUGCAGUUGUCAGAGCUGAGCUGAGCCACAAACAGUGACCUUUUGACCAUGUUUGAUGGUUUUUAACACUGUGCUGGAAUGUACAUUGAACAAAGGGAGCAGUUUCUAUGAAAACAGGUGCAUUUGAACCGGUCAACCAAAUACAGACUGCUGAACAAAAUGGAAAUGCUGCAGAGAUUCCUGCCAGACCCCCUGGGUAGGAAGCUUUCAGUUAAGACCAG